rnacentral:rRNA from 1 species
GACGAACGCUGGCGGCGUGCCUAAUACAUGCAAGUAGGACGCAGUUGCGAGCGGGUGAGUAACGCGUCGGUAACUGCCUAUUAGAGGGGGAUAACUCUUGGAAACGAUAGCUAAUACCGCAUACUAGUAGAUGGUCCUGCGUUGUAUUAGCUAGUAGGUAGGGUAAUGGCCUACCUAGGCAACGAUACAUAGCCGACCUGGGAGGGGGAUCGGCCACACUGGGACGUGGACACGGCCCAGACUCCUACUGGAAGCAGCAGUAGGGAAUGUUGGGCAAUGGGUGGAACCCUGACCGAGCAACGCCGCGGGAGUGAAGAAGGUUUUCGGAUCGUAAAGCUCUGUUGUUAAGGAAGCGGUACUUAACCAGAAAGGGACGGCUAACUACGUGCCAGCAGCCGCGGUAAUUC